UCCUCGUUAGUAUAGUGGUGAGUAUCCCCACCUGUCAUGCGGGAAACUGGGUUUCGAUUCCCCGAUGUGUAU